AAAUGAAGGAAAAGUAAAAUUAAACACAGAAAAAAGCUGUUGCUUGGGGGAGCUUGCGACAAGGCUGCCAUACUCGGCACCAUCUUGAGGUGUUCUUGUCAGUGCUCGGUCCUAUCAGUUACGGCGUUUAGUCCGUUUACAGAAAGGACAUGAAGCAGCUUGAAGUCAGGUGUAGAUCCAAAAGUCACAAUCAAUGUGGACAAAAUGAAAGAGAGUGAUUUCAGGAGGCCCGGCAAAGAUCACCACACAGACCUCACCACAAAUGGUGCUGCUGUGGACAGGGUGAGUAGUGUUUAGUUCCUGGGUAUACUUUUGUUAAACGUCUGAAAGUCUACUCUUCAGUCACAUGCUGGAUUCUUGGUUUCCUCUGUGAUGAUGUACAGAAGCAAAAUGAUAAAGUCCAAAAUCUCUUACUGCUGAUGUGAGACCAGCUGAGUCUCUGUUUCCUCCAACAGGCCAAAGAGCUGCAGAUGCUCAACGACCUUCGCAAACUCUUCAUCGAUGACAUCGGAGCUCGAAUCAAGAAUAGUUCAGAGAAUGACAACGAUGAGGCUGGUGGCAGUUUGGCUCAGAGACAGAGGAUCGUCUUCUUAGAAAAUAACUUGGAGCAGCUCAGCAGGGUCCACAAGCAGGUGAGUGAUCUCACCUAGUCUCUAAGCCCUACCCACAGGGUCACCCUCAACUGGUGUCUCCCCCAUUGGAAGUUUGUGUUUCAGUUUUUAAAACCAGGAUCUUUAGUGUGGGUCUGUCAUUGACAGGUCACUCUGUGAUUGGAUGUUUGCUGAUGUUGUGUUUGUUGGCAAUUAUUUCUUUAAAUAUGACAGAGUACAGAUCCUGCAGUGAAGCUUGUGUCUCCAGCUGUGAUCCUCUGUGUGACCAUGUGAAUAAGAAGCAGUCUCUCAGGUAUAAUAGUGCAUAAAAGCCUAAGAAUUUAGACGUGUAGACAGUGUAGAAGCUUCCAGGUGAAGGGACACUAAGUCCUAUGAUAAGGUGGAGACUUAGGCAGUGAUGGGAAUAACGGCCUGUGAUUACAAGUAACGCCGUUAAUUUUUUCAGUAACGACUAAUCUAACUAAUUACUAUUUCUAUCGUAACGCAGUUACCGUUACUAACAAGAAAAUGCGGUGGCGUUACUAUUUUUCAACAAACAGACGGUUGAAGCUGUGUUCAGUUGACCACAUCUUAUAUCAGUUGCAUGGAAAUAGCUGUAAGUAAUGUGGGCGCUACAGCUUUCAGCAGCUCCGCACGUUCCCGCUGACAGCAAUCACUUUCUGCCUGAUGAUCACUUUUUCUCACAACACCUGCAGCUUAGGGUGCAAAACAAUCGCACGAGUGCUGCUGUUUGACUGAGGAAGAAUAAAGUAGUCGUGGUAAGCCAAUCACAUGACCACUUAAAGACAAAGCAACAAGGUGACAUAUACCCAGAGGUGGGUCGAGUGUCCAAAAAUUGUACUUAAGUAAGAGUAGCAUUACUUUAAAAUAUUAUUACUC